CCUACGGGAGGCAGCAGUAAGGAAUAUUGGUCAAUGGACGCAAGUCUGAACCAGCCAUGCCGCGUGAAGGAUUAAGGCCCUCUGGGUUGUAAACUUCUUUUAUAGGGGACGAAAAAAGGGCAUUCUUGCUCACUUGACGGUACCCUAGGAAUAAGCACCGGCUAACUCCGUGCCAGCAGCCGCGGUAAUACGGAGGGUGCAAGCGUUAUCCGGAUUUACUGGGUUUAAACGGGUGCGUAGGUGGGUUGGUAAGUCAGUGGUGAAAUCUUCGAGCUUAACUCGGAAACUGCCAUUGAUACUAUCAAUCUUGAAUCAUCUAGAGGUAAGCGGAAUAUGUCAUGUAGCGGUGAAAUGCUUAGAUAUGACCAUAGAACACCAAUUGCGAAGGCAGCUUACUAUGGAUGUAUUGACACUGAGGCACGAAAGCGUGGGGAUCAAACAGGAUUAGAUACCCUGUAGUCCACGCCUAAACGAUGAUACUCGACAUUGUGAUAUACUAUAGUGUNUG
rnacentral:rRNA from 1 species